GACAGAGGGUGCAAACGUUGUUCGGAAUUACUGGGCGUAAAGCGCGUGUAGGCGGCUAUGCAAGUCGGAUGUGAAAGCCCCUCGGCUCAACCGGGGAAGUGCACCCGAAACUGCAAAGCUAGUAGUCUCGGAGAGGAUCGUGGAAUUCGUCGGUGUAGAGGUGAAAGUUCGUAAGAUAUCGAGGAGGAACACCCGGUGGCGGAA
rnacentral:rRNA from 1 species